CCGAGUGAGGGCCUCUGGCCCGACCUCCAACCCUUUGUUAUCAAAACCACUGUUGCCUCGGGGGCGACCCGGGCCCGUCGGCUCGGGGCCCCCGAUGGACAAUCUCAAAACACUGCAUCUUUGCGUCGGAUUACAAAGUUUAAUGAAUUA
rnacentral:misc_RNA from 1 species